AGUUGGUUAAUAGCCACUAAGGAUGUAGACUUAGCGAUCUCAACUCCUCCCUCACUACUUCAACCCAGAAGAUGCCAACAUAUUCAGCCAAAUAUGUCCAACAUGGCAGCUAGAGCUUGCUGAGCUUGCUUACCUGAGAGUUCUUGUUCACAGAUAAAUAAGGAGCAGAUCUCUUUCCAACCUCUAAUGAAGCUAGCCCAGUAAGACACCUUAAGGCCUGGAAGUCAAUUACUUUAGCUUGGAAGCUAGCCGACCUUCAAAUUCUGAGGUUUAAGAAAGGUUUUAUAUAAAAAUGAUUACAAUUCUAUACUAAAUUUCCAAAUAAGAUUGACCAUAGAUUUAGGGUGAAGGAACCCAGAAGACAUCUAGUCCAACCUAUGCAUUUUACAGAAAUGGAAAAUCUAAAACCCAGGGACUUGCCCAGAGACCCAAAGGGAGUAAGUCAGAAGCAGCCUCCGAACCAUCUGCCUCUAGAGAUAGCGAAUGCUCUUUCCACUACGACUUAACAUGAUAUCAUUGUGAGCAGUAUGACUGAGACAACAGCACACAUGGCUGCCUCUAUGAGCACUACUACUAUCAUCCUAAGGAUUUAUUUACCAUGAGAGUUUAUAUAUGACUACCCUUUGGAAGGUAAGUGAUGACAAAUUGCAGAUCUCUGACUCUGUGGAGAAUGAUUUUCCCUGUUUCUUUU
rnacentral:lncRNA from 1 species